rnacentral:rRNA from 1 species
UACGUAGGGUGCGAGCGUUGUCCGGAAUUAUUGGGCGUGAAGGGCUCGUAGGCGGUUUGUCGCGUCGGGAGUGAAAACGCCGUGCUUAACACGGCGCUUGCUUUCGAUACGGGCAGACUAGAGGUAUGCAGGGGAGAACGGAAUUCCUGGUGUAGCGGUGAAAUGCGCAGAUAUCAGGAGGAACACCGGUGGCGAAGGCGGUUCUCUGGGCAUUACCUGACGCUGAGGAGCGAAAGUGUGGGGAGCGAACAGG